GCCUCCGUAGCACAAAGGCAGUGCAUCGCUUUCCUAUUUCUGGUUGAGAUCCCUAGGCGAAGGUUGUGGGUUCGAUCCCCACCGGCGGUU